rnacentral:rRNA from 1 species
AUUGAACGCUGGCGGCAUGCCUUACACAUGCAAGUCGAACGGUAACAGGUCUUCGGAUGCUGACGAGUGGCGAACGGGUGAGUAAUACAUCGGAACGUGCCUAGUAGUGGGGGAUAACUACUCGAAAGAGUGGCUAAUACCGCAUGAGAUCUACAGAUGAAAGCAGGGGAUCGCAAGACCUUGUGCUACUAGAGCGGCCGAUGGCAGAUUAGGUAGUUGGUGGGAUAAAAGCUUACCAAGCCGACGAUCUGUAGCUGGUCUGAGAGGACGAUCAGCCACACUGGGACUGAGACACGGCCCAGACUCCUACGGGAGGCAGCAGUGGGGAAUUUUGGACAGUGGGCGCAAGCCUGAUCCAGCAAUGCCGCGUGCAGGAUGAAGGCCUUCGGGUUGUAAACUGCUUUUGUACGGAACGAAAAGCCCCGGGUUAAUACCCUGGGGUCAUGACGGUACCGUAAGAAUAAGCACCGGCUAACUACGUGCCAGCAGCCGCCGUAA